UCGGCGGCGAGAGAGUUGUAGUGUUGGUAGCCGGAAAUUUGGAGAUCUGUCGGUGAAGGACGCUUGUUGAACGAUGUUGGUUGUGGCUGCUGGCGAAGGUGGUUGCGCCGGUUAGUGGUGAAAUGUGGAAGAUGAGUCGAGUAGGUGGGGUUGUGACCUUUGAGAGCAGUGGAGAUUUUUUUCUUUCCUUUUUUUCUUCUAUUUUUCUAUUCUUUUCAUCAGCCAGAGAGAGAGAUCGUGGAAAAUCUCCUUUUUUU
rnacentral:lncRNA from 1 species